UACCAGCACCCCGAGUGUUCUGGACGAUUAUUGGGCCUAAGCAUCCGUAGCCGGCCUUACAAGUCCUCCGUUAAAUCCAGCUGCUUAACAGAUGGGCUGCGGAGGAUACUAUAAGACUAGGAGGAAGGAGAGGCAAGCGGUACUCAGUGGGUAGGGGUAAAAUCCGUUGAUCCAUUGAAGACCACCAGUGGCGAAGGCGGCUUGCCAGAAUGCGCUCGACGGUGAGGGAUGAAAGCUGGGGGAGCAAACGGG
rnacentral:rRNA from 1 species